rnacentral:tRNA from 1 species
UUCCUGGUCGCUUAGGGGUAAAGAAUCUGUCUGUAAUGCAGGAGACCUGGGUUUGAUCCCUGGCUGGGGAA